ACCCAGCGGCAAGGCGAGGGAGGAGGCUGCACACCGCGGUGAAGGUCUGAUUCAGGAGCCCCGACUGUGACGUAGGAGCCCCCGGAGGUGGUCCUCGAGCCUGCGCAUUUCUGGGUUGAGAGACCACUAUUUGCUUAUAGAUCAGACUUUUGUUACUGUCUUUUGGAGAGAAAUACAAGAGGAAAAUGACACAUGCAGAGGAGCAGAAGAAUUCAGGACUGGACUACCGUGCACCUGCAUCUGUGCUGCCUGAAGCUCACCCAUGGCUCUCCUGUGGUUCCAGGGCCCCGAGCGCUCAUGAGGACUCUCCCAGGGCACCGGAGAAAGGCUGAUCCCAAGGUCUCACUCAGCGAGAUUCUGACUGCAUAGGUUAGAAGCCCCAGGAAUCUAUUUCCUAAUAAGCUUGCAGGGUAAUUUUGAGGCAGUCAGUUUGGAGAAGCACAAAUUCUCAGGUUCAAACUCCUGGUUCACAGUUCCUUUGCAUGCCGCAUGGAUUAUCUUCAGCCUCACCUCUAACUACUUUUGGGAGGGGUUGGUUUUUUUGAGACAGGGUCUCACUAUGUACUUAGUUCAGGCUCACUGCUUAGCCCAGGCUGGCCUCAAACUUGCAGUGAUCCUCCUACCUCAGCCUCCCAAGUGCGAGGAUUACAGGUGGGAGCCAGCAGCCCAGUUUUCAUUUUAACUACUUUUAAUAGCUGCCCUUGCAUCCCACCAUAUUGAACGGCUUCUGGUUCCCCCAAAUUGUGAUGCUGAUUCCGGGCUCCUUGUUUUGACUCAAAUUUUCCUUCAGCCUUAAAGGAAACCCUGCUUUACUCCCCACAUACAUCUUGACAUCACUUCUUUUGUAACACACAUCUGCCCCUCCUCUAAUUAAUAAAUUUCCCUAACCCGCACCCUAGAAUGGUGUUAGGAGACAGUGCCCUUGGGAGGUAACUAGGCCAUGAAGAUGGGGGCUUCCCUGAUGGGAUUCGUGUCUUUAUAAGAGGAGACACCACACAGCCUGCUCUCCCUGACAGUCCUCUCGCCAGCAUGUUAGUGCCCAGCAAAUAGGUAGCUACCUGCAAGCCAGGAAGAGCAUCCUUACCAGAAUGGUACCUGGCACCAUUCUGGCAUCCUGAUCUCAGACUUCCUGACUCCAGAACUAUGAGAAAUUAAACUUUUGUUGUUCAAGCUCCUCA